CUCCAAGCCCCGUACAUCUAAUUCAAGCCCAACCCUGCCAGGUCCUAGCGGAAGCAACAGUAAGUUUCGAGUUAGAGUGUACGGUAAGCUUGGUUUUU
rnacentral:SRP_RNA from 1 species